CCUACGGGGUGCAGCAGUGGGGAAUAUUGCACAAUGGGGGGAACCCUGAUGCAGCAAUGCCGCGUGGGUGAAGAAGCACUCCUGUGCGUAAAGCCCUGUCAGCAGGGAAGAAAAUGACAGUACCUGACCAAGAAGCCCCGGCUAACUACGUGCCAGCAGCCGCGGUAAUACGUAGGGGGCAAGCGUUAUCCGGAUUUACUGGGUGUAAAGGGAGCGCAGGCGGUAUGGGAAGUCAGAUGUGAAAACCUAGGGCCCAACCCUGGGACUGCAUUUGAAACUGCCAUACUGGAGUGCAGGAGAGGUAAGUGGAAUUCCUAGUGUAGCGGUGAAAUGCGUAGAUAUUAGGAGGAACACCAGUGGCGAAGGCGGCUUACUGGACGGUAACUGACGCUGAGGCUCGAAAGCGUGGGGAGCAAACAGGAUUAGAUACCCUUGUAGUC
rnacentral:rRNA from 1 species